rnacentral:rRNA from 1 species
AUUGAACGCUGGCGGCAUGCUUUACACAUGCAAGUCGAACGGUAACAGGCCGCAAGGUGCUGACGAGUGGCGAACGGGUGAGUAAUGCAUCGGAACGUGCCCAGUCGUGGGGGAUAACUACUCGAAAGAGUAGCUAAUACCGCAUACGAUCUAUGGAUGAAAGCGGGGGACCGUAAGGCCUCGCGCGAUUGGAGCGGCCGAUGUCAGAUUAGGUAGUUGGUGGGGUAAAGGCCCACCAAGCCAACGAUCUGUAGCUGGUCUGAGAGGACGACCAGCCACACGGGGACGGAGACACGGCCCAGACUCCUACGGGAGGCAGCAGUGGGGAAUUUUGGACAAUGGGCGCAAGCCUGAUCCAGCAAUGCCGCGUGCAGGAAGAAGGCCUUCGGGUUGUAAACUGCUUUUGUACGGAACGAAACGGCUCUGGUUAAUACCCGGGGCUAAUGACGGUACCGUAAGAAUAAGCACCGGCUAACUACGUG